rnacentral:rRNA from 1 species
GAACGGGUGAGUAACACGUGGGCAAUCUGCCCUUCACUCUGGGACAAGCCCUGGAAACGGGGUCUAAUACCGGAUACGACACGGGGUCGCAUGACCUCCGUGUGGAAAGCUCCGGCGGUGAAGGAUGAGCCCGCGGCCUAUCAGCUUGUUGGUGGGGUGAUGGCCUACCAAGGCGACGACGGGUAGCCGGCCUGAGAGGGCGACCGGCCACACUGGGACUGAGACACGGCCCAGACUCCUACGGGAGGCAGCAGUGGGGAAUAUUGCACAAUGGGCGAAAGCCUGAUGCAGCGACGCCGCGUGAGGGAUGACGGCCUUCGGGUUGUAAACCUCUUUCAGCAGGGAAGAAGCGAAAGUGACGGUACCUGCAGAAGAAGCGCCGGCUAACUACGUGCCAGCAGCCGCGGUAAUACGUAGGGCGCAAGCGUUGUCCGGAAUUAUUGGGCGUAAAGAGCUCGUAGGCGGCUUGUCACGUCGGAUGUGAAAGCCCGGGGCUUAACCCCGGGUCUGCAUUCGAUACGGGCAGGCUAGAGUUCGGUAGGGGAGAUCGGAAUUCCUGGUGUAGCGGUGAAAUGCGCAGAUAUCAGGAGGAACACCGGUGGCGAAGGCGGAUCUCUGGGCCGAUACUGACGCUGAGGA